rnacentral:rRNA from 1 species
CCCUUAGAUGUUCUGGGCUGCACGCGCGCUACACUGACGCACGCAACAGGUGCCUGCUCCGAGAGGACUGGGUAAUCAUUUGAGUGUGCGUCGUGAUGGGGAUAGAAUAUUGUAAUUAUUACUCUUCAACGAGGAAUUCCUAGUAAGCGCCAGUCAGCAGCUUGCGCUGAUUACGUCCCUGCCCUUUGUACACACCGCCCGUCGCUCCUACCGAUGGGUGAUCCGGUGAAUGAUUCGGACUUCAGCGGCUCCCCUGGGGUGCGCCGGAGAAAGUUUUGUGAACCUUAUCACUUGGAGGAAGGAGAAGUCGGAACA